AUGUUACUGCUUUUGGCUAUGAUCAAGUGUAGUAUCUGUUCUUAUCAGUUUAAAAAUUAUUAUAUGUCUUUAAAGUAUAUAAUGUUGGCUGGUAAUUUUUAAAUAUGUGUACAGUGAAUAUACAUGCUAAGCAAAACAUAAUGGUUGGUGGGACAAAAGAACAUAUCUCCAGCUUUCCACAU